rnacentral:tRNA from 1 species
GGCUUUGUGACUUGGUUAAAGUGCCUGUCUAGUCAACAGGAGAUCCUGGGUUCAAAUCCCAGUGAGACUU